AUGGGCAUGCCCGAACGCAAAAAAGGCUAUCCGAGAUACUCUUUGGUUCCCUCCCAAGCAAGGCUAGAAUCAAAGGAGGAACUCCCGACUCAAAUAGGUAUGAUAUCGAAGUGGACUCAAUUGUCCAAUGUCUUCUCUGAUGCUAUUAUUUUGUUGAGUACUCAAAACAAGAUGAACAAGCGAGAGGAAAGAACCUCACAUAAGCAAGCAGUUCGGUCUACUCGCUUUUGGCUUGGGCUUUGCGAAUGGAACUUGCAUUCUCGAAAAACAGGGCUCGUUCACUUGGCUUCUCACUUCGGAAUGCUAGAGGAAUGGUUGACCUAA